CCAUGAAAAUGAGAAUCAGUGAUCUGGGUAGGGAGAUAAUAAUCAAAUCAGCGGGAAAUGGAAAUGAAUUCAACCGAACCUGAUGAGUGUUAUUAAAUGGCACAUUCAAAGCUGCAUUGAAGUUAGGUGUGUAUGUUUGGCACGUAGUUGAUGCGAAAAGGCACGCUCUUUCUUAGGAAAAGUAUUCAAGUCAGUGGCAAGCAGAUAAAUGGCUGCAGGUUAUAUCACAGCUCGAAAGUGAUCGCAUUGAUUACACGGCGGCGUUUCCGUUACAACUCUCCUCUAGAAGUGUAGUCUUUAUUUCACAUCCAUCGAAUGUAUUUUAUAUAUAUUUUUGGAUAUUAUUUCACAUCAAUAUUCAA